rnacentral:rRNA from 1 species
UUGGCCCUACGGGUGGCAGCAGUGGGGAAUAUUGGGCAAUGGGCGCAAGCCUGACCCAGCAACGCCGCGUGAAGGAAGAAGGCUUUCGGGUUGUAAACUUCUUUUAAGAGGGAAGAGCAGAAGACGGUACCUCUUGAAUAAGCCACGGCUAGCUACGUGCCAGCAGCCGCGGUAAUACGUAGGUGGCAAGCGUUGUCCGGAUUUACUGGGUGUAAAGGGCGUGUAGCCGGGCUGACAAGUCAGAUGUGAAAUCCCGUGGCUCAACCACGGAACUGCAUUUGAAACUGUCGGUCUUGAGUAUCGGG